CAGCAUCCAACCAGCUCGACCAGCACGGCAAGCUGAGCAUGCUGGGGCGCUGGUUAUUGCUCCAGCAUGCUCAGCUUGCCGUGCUGGUCGAGCUGGUAUGAAGC
rnacentral:pre_miRNA from 1 species